rnacentral:rRNA from 1 species
CCUACGGGUGGCUGCAGUAGGGAAUAUUGCUCAAUGGGCGAAACCCUGAAGCAGCAACGCCGCGUGGAGGAUGAAGGUCUUCGGAUUGUAAACCCCUUUUUUUAGAGAAGAUAAUGACUGUAUCUAACGAAUAAUCACCUGCCAACUCCGUUCCAGCAGCCGCGGUAAUACGAAGGGUGCAAGCGUUACUCGGAAUCACUGGGCGUAAAGAGCUCGUAGGCUGUUUAUCAAGUCAGAUGUGAAAUCCUAUGGCUUAACCGUAGAAGUGCAUUUGAAACUGUUAUUCUGGAGUACGGGAGAGGUAGGUGGAAUUCGUGGUGUAGGGGUAAAAUGCGUAGAUAUCAAGAAGAAUA